UAAUACAGAGGAGGCAAGCGUUGUUCGGAAUCACUGGGCUUAAAGCGCGUGUAGGCGGCCAUGCAAGUACUUUGUGAAAUCCCUCGGCUCAACCGGGGAAUUGCUUGGUAUACUGCAGGGCUUGAGGCGGGUAGGGGUGCUUGGAACUCUAGGUGGAGCGGUGAAAUGCGUAGAUAUCUAGAGGAACGCCUGUGGCGAAAGCGGAGCACUGGGCCCGUCCUGACGCUAAGACGCGAAAGCGUGGGUAGCAAACGGGAUUAGAUACCCCGGUAGUCCACGCCGUAAACGAUGCGCACAAGGUUCAUUGGCCUCUGACGGCACGUGGGCCGAAACAAAAGUGUUAAGUGCGCCGCCUGGGGAGUACGGCCGCAAGGCUA
rnacentral:rRNA from 1 species